UUUACAAGUAAAAAGAUUAACAAAAUGGCAGCGCCCUUGAAGUGAUGUUACCUAUUGAUGUCAGUUACACAACUUUGCAAAAAGCAUGAGGAAAUAUGCCUCGGACACACUUUUUAUAAACAAAGUGAUUAAUAGGUUCAAAUAUUUAAACAGAAAGUUGGGCAAUCAUCGAUAUUCGAUUGUUGCAUUUAUUGCAGGAGGUUGUAUCGAAUUGUGCAUGGUAAAGCUGCAAGCAAACGGUGCAAAUUUUUAUAAGUCAUUCAUAGAGAAACAAUCAUUGAUCGAAGCCGAGAGACGUUUCUUUAAAGAAAGAAAUAAGGAAAUUGUAGAGAAAUUGAUGAAAAAUACACCAAAAGAAGAACUUGAUUCUGUGGAGUUUAAAAUAUGAUUCGCUUUUUAAAGGAGUACUUCACCAAACAGACUUUGAAAUUUUAUUUGCAAAUGGGCUUUUGGAUGCUAGUGGGAAAUCAGUGUGUCCACAUGUAUUAUAAACCUCUUGCAAAUUUUGAAGAAGAAGUUCAGAAACAGCUUAGGAUUUUAGAAGAGAGAGCUGAGGAAGAAAAGGAUAAAUUGAAGGCUGGGAAGACGUGACUGUGAAUAUGUAAUGACUAAUAACAGACAGCUAUUUCUCUCUUCAUCUCAUGAGACUUAGUUUGCCAAGAUGUUUGUGAAUACAGAUUUGCAUGUGAUAUUUUGUUAAUAUUUAUAAAUUAAAAAUAUUUUGUCCAUAUAAAAUCCUGAUUUUUUGUUCUUGUUCCAUAGAAAUUUUAAAUAAUUAUGUAUGGUUUCCAUUCACACUGCUAUAGAAGACUUUCUCAUUAACAACCAUCUUUCUAGAAUAAAACAAAAUGUCUGUCUGGGGUCUGCUUUUUAAAAAUUUGCGUCUGCUCUGGGCCCACUCAGGGUCAGCUCAAAAGUGUGAAGCAGACCCGUCUUUUUUCUUACCGCCAUAAGCCCGUUCCUUGUAUAUAUCAAAUACACAUGUAGAGACAUUUGGUCAUUUCUCAGUAGUGAUUUAAGGGUCUGCUUCUGAAA